AUGCCCCCCCCCCCCCAGAGAAAUUUCCUAGCUACGCCCCUGAAGAAAACUCGAUUUCGAAAAUUUUGCACUUACGGCUCUCUUCGCUAUCACGGCAGCACUGGUCGAUAUGUUCAUCGUACUUACAUUGUGCUCCAUGAACUUGUUUCCACUCGCAGGCGCGGGGAAUGUGUUGACGUACGCGGUGACGUCAGCUGGGCGGACGAUCACGGCGGCCGGGCAAGCCAUCACGAACGUGGCCAUGUUCCCGAUAAACGUUGCCCGAGGCGCUUACAGCGACCUGCAGAUGAGGAUGAUGAAAAUGCAACUCCAGAUGGCUGCUUACAAGCAAGCUGUGGCCAACAGCUACAACUACACCUCGCCCCAGUACGCCUACCAAUCGGCCAUGUUCGACCAGAUCGCAAUCGUCGACCUUACACCCUACGUCAAUUCGCUGAACGCAGACUUGAUGCCGUACGGGCAGAUGGUACGGAUCACCAGGACGAACGGGGUGCCGAGCUACAUCUUUCCGACUAUCCUCGACUCGAAUGCUGCGAGCCACUCGCUUCCCAACGGCUUCAGCCUCCAGCAGAACCAAAUCGUCAACGCACAGGGCCAGGUUGUCGGGGGCGUCCCUCAGUAUCAACCCUCCUACAACGGCAACAUCCUCAAUGAUGCUGCAGGUGAGUCACUUUUGUAAAGGUCAUCACUAGUAUUAGUUCUUGUUUCUUUAACGGAGAUGUUGCAUGUGUGAGGAAUUUGCGAUUUGACUAUUGAUUCUUAUGUAAAAGUUUGCGAGAAACACGAUGGUGCCACUGGUUUUCUCUGAAAUCAACUCCUAAGCUCAAAAAAAGCUCUCAAGUUGAGGCCAAAAUGGAGGAAUAUCCCACGCUAUCCUGAGAGUCAACGUCUACAUCAAGACAAACUCUCCAUGCGAAGAUAGGGAGCGAAUACAUUAGCAGGGUUGCCACUUUAUUUGAGGACUCUAAAACUGAAAACAUGGCAGCAAAGAGUGCAGUUUUUGCUAUUUCGAGAAAUACAUGUUUGAAGUUUCAAAACCACAUGGAUCCUCAUGGUGGAGAGACAGUUCAAACUGACUUUUUGAUGCUUAAAAAAUUGAAUUCAGAAACGAAUUUUUCACAGAAUUUGCGUUAAAACUAGUUUUACUUGAAAUUAUUAAUAACUCGAUUUUAUAAAUAACUGCCUUUCACGGAAAAAAUAGGGUAGUCGACACAACCAGCGGCUGGUUAAAAACGCGCCAGCUACCGUGCGUUAGUUACGAUAACUACCGCGGUGGAGGCCACAACUAACCCGGUAG
rnacentral:lncRNA from 1 species